GAGGGUAUAGCUCAGUGGUAGAGUGCGUGCUUAGCAUGCACAAGGUCCUGGGUUCAAUCCCCAGUACUUCCU
rnacentral:tRNA from 1 species